rnacentral:rRNA from 1 species
CCUACGGGAGGCAGCAGUGGGGAAUAUUGGGCAAUGGGCGCAAGCCUGACCCAGCAACGCCGCGUGAAGGAAGAAGGCUUUCGGGUUGUAAACUUCUUUUCUCAGGGACGAAGCAAGUGACGGUACCUGAGGAAUAAGCCACGGCUAACUACGUGCCAGCAGCCGCGGGAAUACGUAGGUGGCAAGCGUUAUCCGGGUUUACUGGGGGUAAAGGGCGGGUAGGGGGGAAAGCAAGUCAGAUGUGAAAACCAUGGGCUCAACCUGUGGCCUGCAUUUGAAACUGUUUUUCUUGAGUGCAGGAGAGGCAGACGGAAUGCCAAGUGUAGCGGUGAAAUGCGUAGAUAUUAGGAGGAACACCAGUGGCGAAGGCGGUCUGCUGGACAGCAACUGACGCUGAGGCGCGAAAGCGUGGGGAGCAAACAGGAUUAGAUACCCGGGUAGUC